GAUGAACGCUGGCGGCGUGCUUAACACAUGCAAGUCGAACGAAGCAUUUGUGACAGCUUUUUUUUGCAUGAAGUUGCUUACGACUGAGUGGCGGAUGCGUGAGUAACUCCUGGGUAACCUGCCUUGUACUGGGGGAACGUACCUGGAUACGGCUGGUAAUACCGCAUAAGCGCCCAAUGUUGCUUGACCUUGUGUGAAAAACUCCGGUGGUAUACGAUGUACCCGAGUCUGAUUCGCUAGUUGGUGUGAUAACAGCCCACCAAGGGGACGAUCAGUAGCCGAGCAGAGAGGGACGCCGGCGACAUUGGGACUAAGACGCGGCCCGGACUCCUACGCGAGGCAGCAGUGGGGAAUAUUGCAAAACGGAGGAAACGCUGAUGCAGCGACGCCGCGUAAGUGAUGAAGUUAUGAGUGAAGUAAAGCACUAUAAGCAGGGAAUAUAGUGACGGUACCUGACGAAGAAGCACCGGCUAAAUACGUG
rnacentral:rRNA from 1 species